rfam:Lachnospiraceae bacterium 5_1_57FAA genomic scaffold supercont1.1, whole genome shotgun sequence.
AUCAGCAAAGAUAAAAACACAACGUAUGCUUAUGCAUACAGUCCGGUUGGUAGUCCGGGCGCGGCACUGUGCUAUUUGCGCGGGCUGUCAGUAACCUUCCUCCUUAGGUCGUCCAUUCUUUUGCUUAUGUUUU